UACGAAGGGGGCUAGCGUUGCUCGGAAUCACUGGGCGUAAAGGGUGCGUAGGCGGGUCUUUAAGUCAGGGGUGAAAUCCUGGAGCUCAACUCCAGAACUGCCUUUGAUACUGAGGAUCUUGAGUUCGGAAGAGGGUCGUGGAAUUCCCAGUGUAGAGGUGAAAUUCGUAGAUAUUGGGAAGAACACCGGUGGCGAAGGCGGCGACCUGGUCCGAUACUGACGCUGAGGCGCGAAAGCGUGGGGAGCAAACAGG
rnacentral:rRNA from 1 species